GAUGAACGCUGGCGGCGUGCCUAGUACAUGCAAGUCGAGCGAACAGACGAGGAGCUUGCUCCUCUGACGUUAGCGGCGGACGGGUGAGUAACACGUGGAUAACCUACCUAUAAGACUGGGAUAACUUCGGGAAACCGGAGCUAAUACCGGAUAAUAUAUUGAACCGCAUGGUUCAAUAGUGAAAGACGGUUUUGCUGUCACUUAUAGAUGGAUCCGCGCCGCAUUAGCUAGUUGGUAAGGUAACGGCUUACCAAGGCAACGAUGCGUAGCCGACCUGAGAGGGUGAUCGGCCACACUGGAACUGAGACACGGUCCAGACUCCUACGGGAGGCAGCAGUAGGGAAUCUUCCGCAAUGGGCGAAAGCCUGACGGAGCAACGCCGCGUGAGUGAUGAAGGUCUUCGGAUCGUAAAACUCUGUUAUUAGGGAAGAACAAAUGUGUAAGUAACUAUGCACGUCUUGACGGUACCUAAUCAGAAAGCCACGGCCAACUACGUG
rnacentral:rRNA from 1 species